CGACAUGCACGCGCACAAGUAUUGUUGCACACGCAUCCGUAGGAGUAGCAAUAUUGAUAGAGGCAUAGAUCAAAGGUAAUAAGAUAGUGGUGGCUGCACAUGUCCUCACGAAAGGACCGGAGCACUAGAGAUCAAGCGGAGUAGCAUUGCCGCGAGAAGAAUGCCAAGCCCCGUCAUCACCACCACCACCUCCUUCCUUCCGUACUUUAUCGCUUCGCCACACCCUCCCCUUGCCUGAUUUACGUGUCUUUCAGCGUCACACCUGAGUUGUCAGGUCCGGUAGUGAAGGAAAAGGGGUGGGGGUGUGUUGUUGCCACGCAUACAGCGAUUCUGUUGCCAGCAUCACCGACACCCCUCUCUGCCCACUCCCUCUUUUGGUUUCCCUCCAUCAACAAGAGCGUACAGAGAGUGACGACCGUAAACAUGCUGCGCACCGGCGCUGCCACCGCUAGCUCAGCCGCGGUCUCCAGUCGCGGCAUGGGGCAGCGCAGUCACGGCCUGUCGCCACGUCAGGGCGACCUGCGUGUGGGCAAAAAGACGACGAAACCAGUCGCUGGCCUCCCCAGUGUUGGUGCCCUGCCGCUUUGCGUGCAGGGCCGCUUUCAACGGUGGUGUAACGCGGGAGGCGAUCGAGCAAGCCAUGGUGCGCGGCGAUUCAAACUGAGCACCAGUGCUCUGCACAGCGGCCAUCUCCGCUGCAGUGAACGCUGCCUGUCGGCGGGUAGCAAGGAUGAAGCGCCGAGCACAGCCAUCCGAAACGCCAGCGUCGGUACCAUUGGCGCGAGGCUCGCCGCGAAGGACCUCGCGGGUGCGGAGGAGGAACUCUGCCGCCUUCAGGAGAACGUUGACGCCUUCGCCGGCUCCUCCUCCUCUUUUCGGCAAGAGGAGAAGCACCCCAGCGGAGGUGUCGCGACCAGUGCGGCGCCGCAGACGUCAUCCUCGCCUGUGCCAAGGGAAGCGGUCGCUUCGACAACCACCGCCGACGUGGAAGGCAACGUAACAAUCACUGACGGCAAUGACGAUCGCAGCGGUGGCUACGCUGUGCCUGAGUGGCCGGAGCCGACGCUGGAAGAUAUCGACCGCUCCAUUCCGCAAGUGGACUGCGAGUUCAUCGCCAGCCUCAUCCGAAGUCGCAACCUCCGCCGCGACGAGUUCCUCACCAAGAAGGAAGCUGUUAAGCAGCGCGUAGAGGAGCUCACCAAAAAGACGACGCCGACUGUGUACGAGGCCGUCAAGCUACCUUUUGUAGGGGGGCUCGGCCUUGGCUGGCUCAGUAAGCUGAAGGGCAGCGAUGAGGCAGAGGGGAGCGAUAGUGGGCUGGUGGCCACGAGCACCGAGGCGCCGGUUGUUGCGUCGGCGGCGGCGCUGGAGACGCUGAGCGCGGAAGAGAAGGACCUGCUGCAUACGACUCGCCCCGAGUACGACGACGGCUUUGUUCUACUCGACUGCCGCACCGUGAACGAAGUGAGUUCGUGGGGCAUUAUAGAAGGCGCCAAGGUACUGCCCGCCCACGAGCUCUUCGAAGCCUUUCACGCAACGCCGGAGGAGUUUGUGCAGGACUACGGCUUUGCAAAGCCGCGGCCAGAAGAUAUCAUUAUUUGCUACUGCCAGUACGGACCGCGCUCGCUGAUGGCGGCGCAGAUUCUGAGCUGGAUGGGCUACCUAAAGGUUAUGCACUUCAGGGACGGCUACUACGAAUGGGGCAAGCAGUACAACCUUCUCCUACGGCGAUGGAUGGAGCAUGAUAAGGAGAGCGGCAACGAGCUUCGCCGCCUCGCUACCUUUCGCGCCGGCCUUGAGCUGCAGCGUGAGAUUGCUCCCGAAUUUAACGCACUACCGAUGCAGGAGGCCCGCCAGUACCUGCGAGACACGACACGCAGCCCUGGUAAGUUGGUGGUGGGCGAUGGUCUGCGGCUGGAGGCGUACAAGAUGGUGGCGAAGCUGACAGAGGGACUGGCGCCGCCGUCGCUGCCUCGUGUUCUUGAUGACGGUGGCAUUGCCUCAACUGGUAGCAGGGGUGCUGCGGAAAGCCAGACCACCAGAACGCGUCGACUCGGGGAACAGCAACUGACGCGAUUUCUUGAGCAGGCGACCGGCAUCGACCCGAAGAAGGAGCUCCAUCGGCCAGGCCUCUCUAUGAGCAUGGGCGAAGCCCAGGCGACGGUGCUGGACUCCUUGGCGUAUGGGCACGAACUGGGUGCCUCGCCGGACGCCAAGACAUCGCCCGUGUCGCCGCCGCCGCGACGGAACUAGAAGGAGUCCUCAGAGAUACGCACGUGGAGUUUUUUGCCUUUGCGUAGAUGAGGUCGCUUGCUGAGGUGGAACGGGCAAGAAGGACGGUGUACGCAGCAGCCCUGAUCGCAUGAUAUGCAUGCAGGAUGGUGUUGCUCCGGUAUCACCUCGUCCUGGAACGAGUGGUGCCGUGGAGUCGCUUCGGCGCACGUUGGGUGCAUCUGUGGGUUGCUCCUCCUCUCCCCGUAACUCGCACCCGCGCUCUCCCUCUCUCUGGCCUUUCCCUGCCAAGGGGGUAUUCGACCGCAGAUG
rnacentral:misc_RNA from 1 species